UGGGUGGGGCCGGCUGUGGGAAAGGAGGAGGGCGCGGCUCUGGCUGGUCCGGGAGAGCGCGCCGCGCUGCCAGGGGCCGCGAGUCCUGGCUGGGUGCGCUCCCCUCAGCGCGGGCCAGGGGGCCGCUCAGGGCGCGCGCAGCGGGGCCCCGCAGAGCCUCUGGCGAGGGUGGGCGUGCUCUUUCCCCGGUUCCCCGUCUCGGAGCAUCUCAGUGUCCCCGUGUCGUGUCCGGGUUCCGACUCGGAGCCGAGGACCCGCAGUGGCACUUCUCGGAGAAGAGGGGAGCGCUGCGCUCUGGUGCGGCCGCCCUGAGGGAGCCGCCUCGAGUCCAGCGGCGCUGCGGUGCGGGGACACCUGAGGAGAUCGGGCGUCAUGUCAUCCGGGGGCGUUCCUGUCACCGUGGGGGGGGUCCUGUCACCUUGAGGGUUCCUGUCACCGUGGGCCUCCUGUCACUUGAGGGUCCUGUCACCCUGGGGGGGGUCCUGUCACCGUGAGGGUCCUGUCACCGUGGGGGGUCCUAUGACUUGAGGGUCCUGUCACUUGAGGGUCCUGUCACGUAGGGGUCCUGUCGACCGGGUGGCGCCCCAAGGGCCGGCCCUCCGCGCCGGCGUCCUUUCGCUGCAGCGGUGGUGCGCGCGCCGCGCUCUCCCCCGUGGCUGGCUCUCGGCUGCAGCGUGGCGGGUGCGCGGAGGCGGCCUGCUGCCCACACUGACCCACGGCUGCUGCGGCGUCGGGGCCCCAUGGCGCGGGGCCUCGGGGACCGAGGGGCACGUCCUCCGGAGGCGGGGCUGGCUCUGGCACUGGCUCUGGCUCUGUCUUGAGCGCUCGGCCUGGAGGGCGGGCUGAGGCGGCGGGCGGCGUCAACGCGGUCGGCCGAUGGACAGAGUUUGGAGAGCGCUUCGGGGCAGGACCUCUGGAAGUGGCCCCAAAGCAUACGCACGUCUGGCUCCCGUCGCAGAAGGGCUCUUAACCAGGACACGAUGACUGUGCUAGUGAUCCACUGUCUCCUGCCUGUGACGGUGCUGGUGAUCUACUGUCACCUGCCUAUGACGGUGCUGGUGAGCCACUGUUGCCUGUGACCGUGCUAGUGAUCCACUUUUGCUUGCCUGUGACCGUGCUAGUGAUCCACUGUUGCUUGCCUGACUGUGCUGGUGAUCCACUGUGCCUGCCUGUGACUGUGCUGGUGAUCCACUGUCACCUGCCUGUGACUGUGUUAGUGAUCCAUUGUCGCCUGACUGUGACCGUGCUAGUGAUCCACUGUUGCCUGUGACUGUGCUGGUGAUCCACUGUUGCUUGCCUGUGACCGUGCUAGUGAUCCACUGUCGCCUGCCUGUGACGGUGCUGGUGAUCCACUGUCGCCUGCCUGUGACGGUGCUGGUGAUCCACUGUCGCCUGCCUGUGACGGUGCUGGUGAUCCACUGUCGCCUGCCUGUGACGGUGCUGGUGAUCCACUGUCACCUGCCUGUCACUGUGCUAGUGAUCCAUUGUCGCCUGACUGUGACCGUGCUAGUGAUCCACUGUUGCCUGUGACUGUGCUGGUGAUCCACUGUUGCCUAACAUACCAAAAUGUUGUGGCUUACACAAUAAACGUUUAUUCUCUCACAGUGUUUGUGGGUGGGCAGUGCAGGAGCCAGUGCCUGGGGCUGCAGGUCUUAAAGGAGGCUGCAGUCAGGCUGUUGGCUGGGGUUCUGUCUCCUGCACAGGCUCCGCAGGGGGAUCUGCCUCCAGGCCCACUCCCAGGACUGCUGGCAGGACUUCCCUCCUCUGGGCUCUCAGCUCCUCAGUCCCUUGCUUCGGGGCUUCUCCAGAGGUGCUCUCACAGCGUGGCGGCUGGUCUUCCACGGAGUGAACGGACGAGAGAACCAGAGUGCUCGGGAUGGAAGCCACCUCAUCUCCCAUGUGACCCCAUCACGUUUGCUGUGUUCUGACAGAAGUGCAUGGGAUUAUACAGCCUGGGUGGCAGGUCUGAUUACAGUGGAAGCCUGCGAUAAUGAAGGAGCCAGCUACUUCUCUAGGACUAGACGAUUGUUCUGGGUUUGGACUGCUUUCCCCAACUUACGGAUCUUUCAUCCAGUCCAUCUGUGGACCUACUGAAUACCUUAUACUCCACACAGCUUAUACAGCAUCCCAGACGACAUUGCUUCUCACCCAGGAACUCACUUUCCCGUGAAAGAGGUAAAGAAGGGUACUGAUGCCAUCGCAGCAGAAGCAACUGGGUUUACAGAAUAAUGGACAGCCCUAUUGAAGGCUGCCUUCUGGAACCAGAUGAGACACACACUUUGGGAUGCUGUCGUAAAGGAUUCGGCAUAUGCUCCAAAUGAGUUAACAGUAUUUAGUGAUAUCUCUUUUGUUGACACAGUGACAAAGUCCAAGAGUAGAGGGAUUGACGCUAUGCUGUUGCAUCUGACUCAGUGCCCGUAUAUUUUGCUUUCCACUGUGGGGAGAGACUCUGCCGUGGGUCCUGAGCACCCUGCAUAUUAUUGCCGAGCAUGCCAGCUGCGAGGCUUAUCCAUCUCCUGACACAACAGUUUCCGAAGCUAGUAACACAGGCACCUACGUGGGUCCAGGCGGCCAGAGCAUUACUACCAUUUCACUGCCGCUGCCCUAGGGGAGAGACUGGCUUGUUUGCUACUUGCUCAACAACUGCGUGGCCCUGGAUUCUCCUCCUGCGCUCAACCCGAUGUGUGUAUGGGUGUCAUCUGGCCCACCACAGCCCUGUGGAAACUGGGGCUCCAGGAACCGGUGCAAACAUGCGACGCUUGGGCUACUGCUUUGCUGUAAUAAAAAGAUUUUUGUGUCUUACCCAGGAGUCUCCGGUCUCUUGCCAGCAUCCACGACACUGCAGCAAGCAAGCUGCAAGUAGGAUAAAAUCUCAGACCCUUCACUGCUCUUGCCGUCCAUCUGCACAACUCCAGGUUCUGUUGGUAUACCAAUUUUUGUACCCAGAGUGUGCAAGGGGAUACAAUGUUUCCUCUGUACUGGAAGCUGGAAUUGCCUCCUGCUCAUUUUUAGCUCCUUCCCCUAGGUGAGGAGUUAGAAAAGUGGUUAUGGUGCAGCUGGAGUGACUGGCCCUGAUGACCAUGGGGAAAAAGGAGUAGGGAGAGGAGUCUGACAGGGGCAUCUCAUCUCCUGGAAUACCUCCUCGAAAUAACAUGUUGAGUUGUACAAAUUAAGCAGACUCUUGCAACCAUACGGAGGCAAGAUGGACUACAGCAGACCUCUGAUAUGUUUUGUAUUUGGUGCUCAGUCAUCAAACCCGUUUCAUAUGUUUGGUGAAUCUUGGUAGGAGAAAUGUUCCCAUCUUCUACUGUGGAAGCUAAGGUCACAUAUCCUUGCUGUCUUUGAUGCUUGACAGCCCAAGUGCUGGCGCAAGACGAAAUAAGCUUGGUCAGUUGGACAUUCCCACCAGUCUCUGAAUCUGGAACUAGUGAUGCAAACAAGCAGGGUGUUUGGAAUCCGGUUUUCAGAGGCCUCACCGCCCACAGAAGUAAACAAACUCGCAGCUCUCCCUGAGGCUGGAAGUUGGCUACGGUUUUGGUCAUCUAGCUUCCUUUGGUUUCUGUUUUCCAAAGCUGGUUCUCCAGCCUUUCCAUCAAUUCUGUGAGCGAUAUAUCUAAUAUUCUUCCAAUAAACUGUUUUCCUGCCUAAGUUAAUCCUAAUUGGUUUUUUGUUGUCUGCAACCAAGAAUCCUUAUUGGUACAUACUUUAAUGAGAUUCAUUCUCUAAGAGUCAAUUAUAUUGUUUCUGAUAAUCAUUUCCCCUCUCCCUCAGAACCCUUACUCCACCCACCCCUCCCAUCUGAAUUUGUAGGCAGAUAGCAUAUGAAAGUUUCUCUGGUAAAUCAGAAGUUAAAUCUGUUAGAUUUCAAACCACGAUCAUUGAUGUGCUUUUAAAACUGUACUAAAACAACCAAUAACCAAUCAACCAACUAUGAUCAUAAGAGUGAUUUACCCUUAAAUACAAUUAUAUGAUUAUGAGUAAGAAUGAAUCCUUUGAUAAACCUGGAAGAUUAUUCAAACUUCGAAUAAGCAUGACAUUUCAAACUCAGGGCCAAGGUAUGUGAGGAUGAAAAUGUGUGUCGCAAAAGUAUGUGGUGAAUAAUGCAUAUAUUUACAUUUUCGAGUUAUAAUACACUUGGUAUAUUGCUGCUUACUCAAUUCAUUGAAUUUUCAAGUACUUUUUAAAAAGAAUUACGAAGAGCAAUCAAUGAAAUACCUUUUAACUACUUAACACAUGGAAAAGAUGUAAAUUAUAAAAAUACUUUACAAAGGUUAUAAGUUAUGCAAUCAUGCUGGUCUAUAGAGUUCACUGAUAUAGUUUAUCCAAUUAUAAAUAAAAAUAUACCUCUAGUAUUCUGAAAAUAAGCAAGUGUUUUAGCUGUUCUGUACACAGUCACUUGUUCAUUUAUUAACACCAGAGGCAAUAACACAAUGCUAAAAAUAAACAUGCAUCAAUUAUACAAUAUAUACUUACAAAAACCUUCUGUCCAUCACAACUGGUGAAUGCAAACAGACCUUCUAUCCACCCUUAGUGCAUUAUUAUUUUCACAAGUAAACCAGGAAAGGAAAUGGUGAACUUAAUGCUAUUCAGCACCUUUAGUAAAGUCAAAAGACUUAACAUCUCCAUAUAUCAAAAACAUUUGCAUCUGUAUCACCAAACAUGUACAGUUAAUUAUUUUGUUCCAUUUUUAACACAAAUUAUUUUAUUUACAUUACUCUUAGUUCAACAAAUUUUAACAAUAUUUAAAAAUUAUCUAAAUUCAUAAAAGUAUUUCAUAAACUUCAACAUUUAAUUAUUAUGUACAUACAAGGAAGUCUGUGAAAAAAGUUAAAGAAAUGUAGUCAGAAAGUUCAAGCAACUUUACCAAAUCUGGCAACAUUCCAACUAAUUCAAACCAGAGGGCAUUCAAACGUUCAGAAUCUCUAGAUGCUGCUAACAUGAACAUGAAAAGUUCCAGUAAUAAAAGUCAAUAUGAGAAAUAAUGUUGAAAUCACCAGUAGAAAAUAUAUUUUCAUAGGCAUGACACAUGUUUAAUAGCAACAGUAAUAAUGACUUUUUAUAGAAAACUUUUAUAACAUUGUCAUAUAUGAACUACCUGGUUUGAUAGGGCUAAAUAGUUGAUUUCAAAAAAUAUAUUUUAGCAGCCAUAAUUUUAUUUCCAGUUAAAACAUAGUAAAAUGUUAAAAGUAAAAUUUAUAAUUAACUAAAUAAUACCCCAAUACUAGAAAAUUUAAAAUCCCAUGCUAUUCUAGCAAUAAUGGCCUCUAAUAUGAUGUGUCUGAUGUGAGGAUUGUGGAAA